rnacentral:rRNA from 1 species
CAAUAGCGUAUAUUAAAGUUGUUGCAGUUAAAAAGCUCGUAGUUGGAUUUCUGGUGGGAGCGAUCGGUCUGGCGCUUAGCGCGAGUACUUGCAUCGUCUCCGGCCAUCCUUGGGGAAAGUCUGUCUGGCAUUAAGUUGUCGGGCAGAGGAUCCUCAUCGUUUACUGUGAAAAAAUUAGAGUGUUCAAAGCAGGCUUAUGCCGUUGAAUAUAUUAGCAUGGAAUAAUAAGAUAGGACUUUGGUACUAUUUUGUUGGUUUGCGCACCAAAGUAAUGAUUAAUAGGGACAGUUGGGGGUAUUCGUAUUCCGUUGUCAGAGGUGAAAUUCUUGGAUUUACGGAGGACGAACUACUGCGAAAGCAUUUACCAAGGAUGUUUUCAUUAA